UGCACACAUGACUGUAAGUCCCUUUUGGAUAAAAGCGUCUGCUAAAUGGAACAUU
rfam:Salmo salar isolate Sally breed double haploid chromosome ssa02, whole genome shotgun sequence.